GACAUAGGGGGCAAACGUUAUCCGGAAUUACUGGGCGUAAAGAGCUCGUAGGUGGUUUGUCGCGUUGUCCGUGAAAACUCACAGCUCAACUGUGGGCGUGCGGGCGAUACGGGCAGACUGGAGUACUGCAGGGGAGACUGGAAUUCCUGGUGUAGCGGUGGAAUGCGCAGAUAUCAGGAGGAACACCGGUGGCGAAGGCGGGUCUCUGGGCAGUAACUGACGCUGAGGAGCGAAAGCGUGGGGAGCGAACAGG
rnacentral:rRNA from 1 species